UACGGCCACAUUAAGCUGAAACACUGGUUCCUGUUCGAUCACCGAAGUUAAGCAACGUCGUGCCUAGUCAGUACCUAAGUGGGUGACUGUUUGGGAAUGCCAGGUAAUGG